rnacentral:rRNA from 1 species
UACGUAGGCAGCGAGCGUUGUUCGGAGUUACUGGGCGUAAAGAGUGCGUAGGCGGCGUUCCAAGUUUGGUGUGAAAUCUCCCGGCUUAACUGGGAGGGUGCGCCGAAAACUGGGGUGCUAGAGUGCGGGAGAGGUAAGCGGAAUUCCUGGUGUAGCGGUGAAAUGCGUAGAUAUCAGGAGGAACACCGGUGGCGAAGGCGGGUCUCUGGGCCGAUACUGACGCUGAGGAGCGAAAGCAUGGGUAGCGAACAGG